rnacentral:rRNA from 1 species
UGGGGAAUAUUGCACAAUGGGCGCAAGCCUGAUGCAGCCAUGCCGCGUGUAUGAAGAAGGCCUUCGGGUUGUAAAGCACUUUCAGCGGGGAGGAAGGCGGUGAGGUUAAUAACCUCAUCGAUUGACGUUACCCGCAGAAGAAGCACCGGCUAACUCCGUGCCAGCAGCCGCGGUAAUACGGAGGGUGCAAGCGUUAAUCGGAAUUACUGGGCGUAAAGCGCACGCAGGCGGUUGAUUGAGUCAGAUGUGAAAUCCCCGGGCUUAACCCGGGAAUUGCAUCUGAUACUGGUCAGCUAGAGUCUUGUAGAGGGGGGUAGAAUUCCAUGUGUAGCGGUGAAAUGCGUAGGGAUGUGGAGGAAUACCGGUGGCGAAGGCGGCCCCCUGGACAAAGACUGACGCUCAGGUGCGAAAGCGUGGGGAGCAAACAGG